UACCAGCACCCCGAGUGGUCGGGACGUUUAUUGGGCCUAAAGCAUCCGUAGCCGGUUCUACAAGUCUUCCGUUAAAUCCAGCUGCUUAACAGAUGGGCUGCGGAAGAUACUAUGGAGCUAGGAGGCGGGAGAGGCAAGCGGUACUCGAUGAGUAGGGGUAAAAUCCGUUGAUCCAUUGAAGACCACCCGUGGCGAAGGCGGCUCUCUGGAACGCAACUGACGCUGAGACGCGAAAGCGUGGGGAGCAAACAGG
rnacentral:rRNA from 1 species